rnacentral:pre_miRNA from 1 species
UUAAUUUUGAAGACUUCAACUUGCAUACUUGAAAAAUUUGAAGACUUCAAUUUGUAUAUUUGGCUGAAUUUAAAGAAACU